rnacentral:rRNA from 1 species
UGGGGCAUCAUAGUCAAUGGGCGAAAGCCUGAACCUGCGACGCCGCGUGAGUGAUGAAGGUCGUAAGAUCGUAAAACUCUUUUCAGGGCUCUUAAAGCCUGUCUGUCAACAACAGGCCGAUCUGACUCUCCCUGGAAGAAGCCCCAGCCAACUACGUGCCAGCAGCUGCGGUCAUACGUAGGGGGCGAGCGUUAUUCGGAAUUACUGGGUGUAAAGGGUAUGUAGGCGGCCCUUCAAGUCGCGUGUCAAAGUCCAGUGCUCAACGCUGGGUGUGCACGCGAUACUGACGGGCGUGAGGGCUGGAGAGGUGAGCGGAAUUCCCGGUGUAGUGGUAAAAUACGUAGAGAUCGGGAGGAACACCAGCGGCGCAGGCGGCUCACUAGACAGUUUCUGACGCUAAGAUACGAAAUCGUGGGGAGCAAACA